rnacentral:rRNA from 1 species
UUGGAGGGCAAGUCUGGUGCCAGCAGCCGCGGUAAUUCCAGCUCCAAUAGCGUAUAUUAAAGUUGUUGCAGUUAAAAAGCUCGUAGUUGAAUUUCGGAAUUUUUUUAUCGGUUGAAUCAACAGGUUCGUACUGAUUUUAAGAAUUUCUACCUUCUGGAGAACCUUAAUGUCAUUUAUUUGGUGUUUUGGGAAACCAGGACUGUUACCUUGAAAAAAUUAGAGUGUUUAAAGCAGGCUUAUGUCUGAAUAUAUUAGCAUGGCAUAAUGAAGUAGGACGGCAUGGUUCUAUUUUGUUGGUUUCUAGGAUCACCGUAAUGAUUAAUAGGGAUAGUUGGGGGCAUUAGUAUUCAAUUGUCAGAGGUGAAAUUCUUGGAUUUAUUGAAGACUAACUUCUGCGAAAGCAUUUGCCAAGGAUGUUUUCAUUAAUCAAGAACGAAAGUUAGGGGAUCGAAGACGAUCAGAUACCGUCGUAGUCUUAACCAUAAACUAUGCCGACUAGGAAUCGGACGAAGUUAAUUUUUUAAUGACUCGUUCGGCGCCUUACGGGAAAC